rnacentral:rRNA from 1 species
GAUGAACGCUGGCGGCGUGCUUAACACAUGCAAGUCGAACGGGAAACCUUUUAUUGAAGCUUCGGCAGAUUUAGAUUGUUUCUAGUGGCGGACGGGUGAGUAACGCGUGGGUAACCUGCCUUAUACAGGGGGAUAACAGUCAGAAAUGACUGCUAAUACCGCAUAAGCGCACAGAGCUGCAUGGCUCGGUGUGAAAAACUCCGGUGGUAUAAGAUGGACCCGCGUUGGAUUAGCUAGUUGGUGAGGUAACGGCCCACCAAGGCGACGAUCCAUAGCCGGCCUGAGAGGGUGAACGGCCACAUUGGGACUGAGACACGGCCCAGACUCCUACGGGAGGCAGCAGUGGGGAAUAUUGCACAAUGGGGGAAACCCUGAUGCAGCGACGCCGCGUGAAGGAAGAAGUAUCUCGGUAUGUAAACUUCUAUCAGCAGGGAAGAAAAUGACGGU